rnacentral:rRNA from 1 species
GAUGAACGCUGGCGGCGUGCCUAAUACAUGCAAGUCGAGCGAACAGACGAGGAGCUUGCUCCUCUGACGUUAGCGGCGGACGGGUGAGUAACACGUGGAUAACCUACCUAUAAGACUGGGAUAACUUCGGGAAACCGGAGCUAAUACCGGAUAAUAUAUUGAACCGCAUGGUUCAAUAGUGAAAGACGGUUUUGCUGUCACUUAUAGAUGGAUCCGCGCCGCAUUAGCUAGUUGGUAAGGUAACGGCUUACCAAGGCAACGAUGCGUAGCCGACCUGAGAGGGUGAUCGGCCACACUGGAACUGAGACACGGUCCAGACUCCUACGGGAGGCAGCAGUAGGGAAUCUUACGCAAUGGGCGAAAGCCUGACGGAGCAACGCCGCGUGAGUGAUGAAGGUCUUCGGAUCGUAAAACUCUGUUAUUAGGGAAGAACAAAUGUGGAAGUAACUAUGCACGUCUUGACGGUACCUAAUCAGAAAGCCACGGCUAACUACGUG